AUUGAACGCUGGCGGCAGGCUUAACACAUGCAAGUCGAGCGAGUGGCGGACGGGUGAGUAAUGUCUGGGAAACUGCCUGAUGGAGGGGGAUAUCUACUGGAAACGGUAGCUAAUACCGCAUACCAUCAGAUGUGCCCAGAUGGGAUUAGCUAGUUGGUGGGGUAAUGGCUCACCUAGGCCACGAUCCCUAGCUGGUCUGAGAGGAUGACCAGCCACACUGGGACUGAGACACGGGCCAGACUCCUACGGGAGGCAGCAGUGGGGAAUAUUGCACAAUGGGCGCAAGCCUGAUGCAGCCAUGCCGCGUGUAUGAAGAAGGCCUUCGGGUUGUAAAGCACUGUCAGCGAGGAGGCGUUACCCGCAGAAGAAGCACCGGCUAACUCCGUGCCAGCAGCCGCGGUAAUAC
rnacentral:rRNA from 1 species